UGAUCCUGGCUCAGAUUGAACGCUGGCGGUAACUUUUAAACAUGCAAGUCGAGCGGUAACAGACAUAAAGAUUCAGCUUGCUGAAUCCGGUGCUGACGAGCGGCGAACGGGUGAGUAACGCGUAGGAAUCUACCCAGUAGCGGGGGAUAGCCCGAGGAAACUCGGAUUAAUACCGCAUACGCCCUGAGGGGGAAAGGGGGCAAUUUAUUGCUCUCACUAUUGGAUGAGCCUGCGUAAGAUUAGCUUGUUGGUAGGGUAAUGGCCUACCAAGGCGACGAUCUUUAGCUGGUCUGAGAGGACGAUCAGCCACAUUGGGACUGAGACACGGCCCAGACAUCUACGGAUGGCAGCAGUUAAGAAUAUUGGACAAUGGGGGCAACCCUGAUCCAGGUAUACCGCGUGUGUGAAGAAGGCCCUAGGGUUGUAAAGCACUUUAAUCAGAGAAGAAGCAUUUUAAGUUAAUACCUUAAUUUGUUGACGUUAACUGAAGAAUAAGGACCGGCUAACUCCGUGCCAGCAGCCGCGGUAAUACGGAGGGUCCAAGCGUUAAUCGGAAUUACUGGGCGUAAAGCGCGCGUAGGCGGUUUAGCAAGUUGUAUGUGAAAGCCCUGGGCUCAACCUAGGAACUGCAUCCAAAACUACUAAGCUAGAGUACGAGAGAGGAGAGUAGAAUUUCUGGUGUAGCGGUGAAAUGCGUAGAUAUCAGAAGGAAUACCAAUGGCGAAGGCAGCUCUCUGGCUCGUCACUGACGCUGAGGUGCGAAAGCGUGGGUAGCAAACAGGAUUAGAUACCCUGGUAGUCCACGCCGUAAACGAUGACAACUAGCCGUUGGGCAGAUUUAACUGUUCAGUGGCACAGCUAACGCAUUAAGUUGUCCGCCUGGGGAGUACGGCCGCAAGGCUAAAACUCAAAUGAAUUGACGGGGGCCCGCACAAGUGGUGGAGCAUGUGGUUUAAUUCGAUGCAACGCGAAGAACCUUACCAAUCCUUGAAAUCUAGCGAAGUUCGCAGAGAUGUGAAUGUGCCUUCGGGAACGCUAUGACAGGUGUUGCAUGGCUGUCGUCAGCUCGUGUCGUGAGAUGUAUGGUUAAGUCCAGUAACGAGCGCAACCCCUAUCCUUAUUUGCCAGCGCGUAAUGGCGGGAACUAUAGGGAGACUGCCGGGUGAAACCCGGAGGAAGGCGGGGACGAGGUCAAGUCAUCAUGGCCCUUAUGGAUUGGGCUACACACGUGCUACAAUGGGAAGUACAGAGGGAUGCGAAAGCGCGAGCUGAAGCCAAACCCUUAAAACUUUUCUUAGUCCGGAUUGGAGUCUGCAACUCGACUCCAUGAAGUCGGAAUCACUAGUAAUCGCGAAUCAGAAUGUCGCGGUGAAUACGUUCUCGGGCCUUGUACACACCGCCCGUCACAUCAUGGAAGUGGGUUGCACCGGAAGUGGUUAGUCUAACCUUCGGGAAGACGAUCACCACGGUGUGAUUCAUGACUGGGAUGAAGUCGUAACAAGGUAACC
rnacentral:rRNA from 1 species